GCGUCGGUGGUUCAGUAAUAGAAUGCUCGCCUGCCACGCGAGCAACCCGCGUUCGAUUGCCGCCGAUGUA